rnacentral:rRNA from 1 species
UACGUAGGGGGCAAGCGUUGUUCGGAAUUACUGGGUGUAAAGGGUUCGUAGGCGGUGUGGCAAGUUGGGAGUGAAAUCUCUGGGCUCAACCCAGAGACGGCUUCCAAAACUGCCGUGCUUGAGUGUGGGAGAGGCUCGUGGAAUUGCAGGUGUAGCGGUGAAAUGCGUAGAUAUCGUAAGGAAGACCAGUGGCGAAGGCGGGUCUCUGGACAGUUCCUGACGCUGAGGCACGAAGGUCAGGGGAGCAAACGGG